GCUAGGGUGGGUAAUUUCUUUACUGUAAUAUUUGGCAAAACUGUCCUAAUAGCCAGUCAGCUAUAUGUAGGUGAAGUGCUCUGAGAAUAUCUGCUCAUAACUUUGCUCUCCCCUGCCUCUGUGGGCCGCACCCAAAAAUUGCCACCGCUCAUGUACACUUUGACCAAUCAGAGCGAGGCUCCGAUUCUCCGUUCUUAUUGGCUGUGGGACUGUCCGUCACCUUGGCAACGACGUUGGUGCGUCCCUGCGUGAGCGUUCACGAGCCUAGCGGUCUGACAGUUUUGUACUACUACGGCGGACAACAAAUGAAUAGCCAUGUCUUCAUCAACGGCCCAUAAAUUUCCCAUUCCCCGGAUACCAUCAACUAACACCACGAAGACAGCGAAAAAAAGAGGAAAGACACUUGUUGAAAGGACAGCUACUAAAAGGGAGGCGGAGAGGGCUCGAAAUAAAACCAGAGUAAACAUCGGCGUGGCUUAUGAGCCAUGGAGAGAGUUACGUGACCUGAGAAACUUAAAAUCGGACGCUGAGAUGGCUACAUUUCUUAUAGACAGACCUGCAGAGUGCUAUCCUAGAAGCCCGGCUGACAUCAGACAAGGGUUUGCCAAAGACCAGAAAAAAAAGGCCUAAUGACCCACGGCAAUAUGGGGUUCUUGCAAGCAUCCCACCUCCCACCACCAAGGACCUGUUGCAAACCCAAUUCCACAGAGGAGUAGGGCAAGGAAUGCAGUAAGAGACCAUAGAAGAGAUUGGAGGUCCCAUACCAACUAAACUGGAGCUGACUGUAGGCUGCUGGGGGCUGUUUGGAAUAGUAUUACGCUGCUCACUUUUUGAUAUUUGUAAAUAUUCGAUUUAUUAGAUCUAAAUGUCCUUCACAGUUUUGUAUU